rnacentral:rRNA from 1 species
UUUAUAGAUGUUGAGGUUGAAUGAGGGGGGCGGAGCUUGAAGAGCCAAGCGAGCUGUGCUAGCCUAGCAACGUUUUCAAAGAGAAAGCUACGGUCUAACGACCCCCUAACCUAGGUUGGGGCGAAAACUCCAAAAUCCAAAACGUUGGUUUUUCUUCCUCUCCUUUCAGUCGAGUGACUUCGUACCUCUUCUUUUAGGCGAGCUACUUCGUUCAAAACCUUCUCUACUAAAAAGGUAAUCAUGAAAGCCGCUGCCCUUUAAAGUUAAAGGAGCGGGCUUAGUGAACUGUAAUUGUGAAAAGAUCGGAAGAUCUUGUCAAAGAAGGUGAUAGCUCUGUAGAUUUGUUCCCAUGGUUCGAUCAUUCCCAGUAGAACACAGUGUGUUCAAAUUCUAAUCACUUUUAUGCGAUAAAGGGGGACCACCCUCUAAAAUUUUCCUCAAUGACCGAUAGCGUACAGUACCAUGACGGAAACGUAAAAAGAAACAUAUUUAGGGAGUGUAAUAGAGAACCUUAGAUCCUAGGCAAACAAUCAGUCAAGAGAGCAAAGCAUACCUUUACUUUAUGUAAAGCACACUCACUCUAAUGGUGUAUCUUUUACAUGAUGGGUCAGCGAGGAAAUGGGAACAGCGGCUUAAGCCAUUAGUUGUAGGCUCUCUCCAGAGGUAGAAUCUUCUAGUUCUUCCUAUUUGACCCGAAAUCGAUCAAUCUACCCUUGAGUAUGUUGAAUAGAUCUCUAAUAGGCUUUGGAGGACCGAACCUACGUGUGUGGCAAAAUAUCGAGAUGACUUGUGGCUAGGGGUGAAAGGUCAACCAAGAUAAGAUAUAGCUUGUUUUCGCAAAAUCUAUUUUAGUAGAGCAUAUAUUGUUGAUUGCCCGAGGUAGAGCAUUCAAUGGGCUAGGGUGGCCUCAUUUCGCCUUACCAACCCAAGGGUAACUCCAAAUAUAGGCCUAGAUUGUUUGUACAAACUUACUUUUUGGGUGCUAAGAUCAAAAGUCGAGAGGUAAACAGCCUAAAUAGUACUCUAUGGUCCCUAAGAAAUUACUUAGGGCAAAAGAAAGUGAUCGAGCGAUGACAACCAGAAGGUAGGAUUGGAAGUAACCUUCCUUUUUAAGAAAGAGUAAUAGGCUACUAGUCUAGUUCCAUGGCACCGAAAAUGUAUCAGGGCUCAAGUUAUUCACCAAAGUAAUGAGACAUUGAAAUCUGCGUUUUCAAGUGUUAGUAGUGGAAUGUUCUGUCAAUCAGGGAAGGUUUUUGGUCACAAGACCUAGAGAUAUCAGAAAAGAGAAUGCUAACAUGAAAAAAAUCCAGUGAAAUACAUGAUCCCCUUCCAGUGAAAGGUUUUUCUGCUUUCAGUCAACUUACGCAGGGUGAAUCGGUCCCUAAGGAACGUCAUAAAGGGCUGACAUCCUAUGGGUACACGAAAGAGACAAAGUUUCUUUUACUAAAGAACCAUGCCUUUCUGUUGGAGGAAAUUGGAUGAUCAGUCCGAAGGUUGCCCCUUUUCUCCUCACUCUCCUUUCCCUAAUAUGAACCUUGAGUCAUCAAAGCCUUUCUAAUUCGGCCACGUUAGGUCUUCCUAUGCGACUGGCACAUAAAAAGGUCAAACUAUGGGUCGUAGUUUCGCGACCUAUCUUCAGUAGGGGGCUCUAGUCUUCUGAUUAGAGUAGGGGUCGCCAGAGAGCAGAGCGUACCGCCCUUCCAUAGUCACAAGUCCGUUAAUAGUCGCGACAAUUGUGAUAGUCAAUAAGGUUGAAACUUCCAGGAAAAAACAUUAAAUUGAGAGGGCCAUCCUCUCGGUUAACUGAUCAUACCCCAAACCGACACAUGUGAACAAGUAGAGUAUAUUAGGUCGCUUCAGAGAACCAUGUCAAAGGAACUCGGCAAUAUGACCCCGUAACUUCGGGAGAAGGGGUGCUCUCCUAUCUUUUACUUCAAAUCAGCACAUACUAGAGGGUAGCGACUGUUUAUUAAAAAGACAAGACUAUUUCUAAAUGGUAACAUAAUGUAUAGAGUCUGACACCUGCCCGGUGCUAGAAGGUCGGAAGGAUAAGCGUUAUAAGCUUUGAAUUGAAGCCCCGAUAAACGGAGGUAGUAACUCUUAUUGUCCUAAGGUAGCAAAAUUCCCAGUCACAUAAGUAGCGACCUGCACGAAUGGUGUAACAACUUCCCCUCCGUCUUCGACAUGGACCAGGUGAAAAUGAAUUCUCCAUGAAGAUGUGGAGUACGAACCGCUAGACGGUAAGACCCUGUGCACCUUAACAAUAGCUUCGCAGUGACAACCUUAAUAGAAUGUGUAUGAUAGGUGGGAGGCGGUGACACACAAUGACCAAUCCUAAAAGACCAUUCUUUCUUCUAAGGAUGCCUAACCGUCGCACCGAUCAUUCGGCGGGAGGUGGGACACUGUGAGGUGGGUAGUUUAUCUGGGGAGGAUGCCUCCUAAAGAGUAACAGAUGUGUACGAAGGUAGGCUUAAUCUAAGAUUCUGCCCGUGAGCGUAAUAUUAUAAACCUACCUAACUUUGAGAUCAACUGGUCGAACAGAUAUGAAAGUCGGCCAUAGUGAUCCGGGAGUCCCGUGUGGAAGGGCUCUCGCUCAACGGAUCAAAGGUACGCCGGGGAUAACAGGCUGAUGACUCCCAAGAGCUCUUAUCGACGGAGUCGUUUUGAACCUUGAUGUCGAGUCAUCACAUCCUGUGGUAUAAUAAGGUCCUAAGGUUUUGAUUGUUCACUGAUUCAAGUUGUACGUGAGUUGGGCUUAGAAAGUUGUGAGACAGUUUGGUUCCUAUCUACCGUUGGUGCUAAAGGGAGAACUGUGAGGAGCCAACCCUAGUACUAGAUGAGUGGCUUGGGAUAACCUAUGGUGUACUAGUUGUUAUGCCAAUAGAAGCGCCGGGUAGCUAUGUUGGUAUGGAAGCACUGCUGCACAGCGGGAAGCCUUCUCUAUACAAGUUCUCGGAUGAGGUUGUUGAACAGAACUUCGAUCGGCGAGAGAUGUAAACACCGCAAGGUGUGAAGUGAUCUCGUACUAAACGAAACUACUUCCACUU